UACGAAGGGGGCGAGCGUUGUUCGGAUUUACUGGGCGUAAAGGGCGCGCAGGCGGCUCAUUUUGUCAGGCGUGAAAGCCCCGGGCUUAACCUGGGAACUGCGUUUGAUACGGAUGGGCUAGAGUUCGGGAGAGGAGAGUGGAAUUCCCAGUGUAGAGGUGAAAUUCGUAGAUAUUGGGAAGAACACCGGUGGCGAAGGCGGCUCUCUGGACCGGAACUGACGCUGAGGCGGCGAAAGCGUGGGGAGCAAACAGG
rnacentral:rRNA from 1 species